rnacentral:lncRNA from 1 species
UGGUUGUUCAGAAUUUCUUUUGCUUUAUGAACCAUGUAGAAUGAAAAGAAAUCAGGUUAGAAUUUGGUACCCUGUGACAUGAUAAUGCCUACUAUCAUUACAAUUUCAACAAACUUGAACUGGGAUUCAAAUGAAUAGCGUGACUCCAAAGGAAAUGGUUUCAUAAUGGCGUCCAGUGUUCUCAAUUAACACAGGAAAGAUUAAUGGCUUUUUUUUUUUCCUUUGGUGGUCUCUGUUGAGGAAAAAACAUUAGUUGCCAUUUGAUUUUCCACUCAAUUGCGUUUACCAACUGGCAGACAAACCAACAGGGAAAGUUCCUCCAUCCAGGAGCUGGAUUUGCCAUGGGUGUGGCCCAGGCAUGUUACCGCAGCUGAUUCUCCACAGUCUGAAUAGUCCACAGAUAGCGACUCUCACCAAGGGGAAACUCGAAGACGGAACUAGGAGGAAAUACAGCAGCUGUCAAUAAUUAUUAGAGACUGUCCACUUCUCUUCCUUGUGUCUUAAUCCUCUAAUUAGGAACCUCUUCGUCCUUUGAGAACAGCCCAAGUGUAUGUCUGAUUAGCCACUUCCCAACAGGGAGCAAACUGCAUAUCAAAAUGGAUUUGACGCUUCUCAGUAAACUGACAAAUCAGCUAAAGACUGAGUAAAAUGAAAAUGUUAGAAAUAUCACCUCCCAAAAAAAGUGAUGACUGCUAUAGGCUGGAAGAGUUAUGAUCUGUCAGAAUCUUCUGUUGCGAGGAACAGCUUAGCCAUACACCAAUGCUCCAUGGCUGCUGCAGUCAAGAAUCUGAACACGGCCUGGAAUUCUCUGAGGAUGUUAUUCAUAAAGGCACAGUUAAUCAAACUCAGACCUCUCUUCAAAAUCUCACUGUACAAGCCAAACCUAUUGCCAGCAGAAGGAAGGUGCCAGACCAGAGAAGGAAUCUACCACAAGAAAAUAAUCAGAAAUGAGGAUGAAUUUUUCAUUCAAAGAUGUUCAUUGAAGCUCAUGUAAAUUAGCAAAAAACUA